GACGAACGCUGGCGGCGUGCUUAACACAUGCAAGUCGAACGGUAAGGCCCUUCGGGGUACACGAGUGGCGAACGGGUGAGUAACACGUGGGUGAUCUGCCCUGCACUUCGGGAUAAGCCUGGGAAACUGGGUCUAAUACCGGAUAGGACCACUGCCUGCAUGGGUGGUGGUGGAAAGCUUUUGCGGUGUGGGAUGGGCCCGCGGCCUAUCAGCUUGUUGGUGGGGUGAUGGCCUACCAAGGCGACGACGGGUAGCCGGCCUGAGAGGGUGACCGGCCACACUGGGACUGAGAUGCGGCCCAGACUCCGACGGGAGGCAGCAGUGGGGAAUAUUGCACAAUGGGCGCAAGCCUGAUGCAGCGACGCCGCGUGAGGGAUGACGGCCUUCGGGUUGUAAACCUCUUUCAGCACCGACGAAGCGCGAGUGACGGUACCUACAGAAGAAGGACCGGCCAACUACGUGCCAGCCGCCGCCGUAA
rnacentral:rRNA from 1 species